AGACUUCUGAAGCUGGCACCUCAUAACCGCAGGCCCUGCCUGGAGCUUCCCCGGUCAGUCCACGAGGAACGGGGAGCCGCUAGAGGACUUCAAACAAGCAUGCAGGAGGUGCUCAAUAUGUGUUUCCUGAUCAGCACACCAGCUGUCUCCUCCAUCAGACCAAGAGUUCCUUGAGGACAGGGUUAUUUGACCUUUGUGUUCUCUAGUUCCUUCAGUUUCCCUCCAGGAACAGGCUGAUCACGGGCGGGAAACACACCUACAAAGUGUCCAUCACAGCUGACAAAGGAAUGGAACAGUAAAAGACCCUGGAGUCCAUCAGGACUGAAGUAAAUCCCCUCCUUACCCCCCAUUUUGCCUAUAUCUUCCUCAAGAUUCUGCAAUCCUUGAAGAUGGGUUUUUGAGACAUUAAUCUGCCAUCUUCCUGAUUGUGACAGCUAAUUGAAUUAAAU
rnacentral:lncRNA from 1 species